CCUACGGGUGGCUGCAGUAAGGAAUAUUGGUCAAUGGACGAAAGUCUGAACCAGCCAUGCCGCGUGGAGGAUGAAGGUCCUCUGGAUUGUAAACUUCUUUUAUAUGGGACGAAAAAAGGCCUUUCUAGGCCGUCUGACGGUACCAUAUGAAUAAGCACCGGCUAACUCCGUGCCAGCAGCCGCGGUAAUACGGAGGGUGCAGGCGUUAUCCGGAUUCACUGGUGUUAAGGGGGGCUGAGAUGGGUUUGUAGAAAUCUCCGAGCUUAACUUGGAAACUGCCAGUGAUACUAUUAAUCUGGAAUAUUGUGGAGGUUAGCGGAAUAUGUCAUGUAGCGGUGAAAUGCUUAGAUAUGACAUAGAACACCAAUUGCGAAGGCAGCUGGCUACACAUAUAUUGACACUGAGGCACGAAAGCGUGGGGAUCAAACAGGAUUAGAUACCCGGGUAGUC
rnacentral:rRNA from 1 species